CGGUAGCCAUGAACAGCUGACAAGGAGCAAAACGAUGCAGUCAUCAGUAGUGGUUACAAUGUGGAUCAGGAAACUGGGGUGCGGAGCAAGGAAGCAAAUUCCCCACAUGAGGCUUCUUCCUGCCUGCGUGUCUGACUUGUUCCUAUGCUGGUCCUUAUCUGGUUCACCCCGCCCCACCCACCCGCCAUGACUGUUUCCAGUUCCCUUGUGUUCCAUGCCCUCUCCAGCCUCAGCAUCUCCGGUAAGACCCAGAAUUUCAUGUAACCUAAUUUCACUUCCCGGCUUGGGAUGUGGCUCAUCCCUCCUUCUCAGCCCUGGAAUGCCGCCUAUCUAGUCACAACUCCCCUUCGCAGGAUUACUGAACGAAACAGAAGAACGACACUUCUUCUGUCUAGCACCAGAACCAAGGAAAUGAUCGUCAAAGUAUUUCCAUGCUGUAAUCCCCAGGACAAAGUCUAACUUCAGUUCAAUUAAAACUGACUACUAUAUCUAGGGCCAUGGGUAAGGUAUGUCUGCGAAAGAUAAAAUUAUCACCUUCAAAGUUCUAGCAGGAAAGAAGAUGAGUUUUAAAAUAGCUAUAGUUCAGGACAGAAGAAAAAAAAUAAGUGCCGUAUGAAACCCACAAAAGGCAAAAUUAGUUUCAGAUGAUGAAGAGAUCCUACCAAGAUGAUAAUUAGCAAGCGCCUUGCAGGAGAAUGGCUGCUUGAAAUUGACUUGGAAAGAAUUGAUAGAAUUUCAAUAAUUGGAAAAGGAGAAUAAGAGAAAGGCGCUCCAAGUGGAGGGACUAGCCUCUAGAAAAGGGGCAGAGAAUGGAAACCUGGAGUACGUUUAAGGACAAAAUGACAGUUGACUGUUUGACAGGAAUGUCGAGGAAGUUUUAGAAACGCAACUCUGGAGCUGGGCAUGACAGCACACGCUUGGAUGCAAGCCCAGGAUGCCGUCAUCCAGGACUCUGAAAACUCUUCUUUGUCACGAGCUUAGGCAGAAAGUCUCUCCAGCCGUGGGUCAGAAUAAGGAAGACCAGGUUCAAGGAGGCCAAGGCAUGAACCUAGAGUCGCCCAGCUGUCUCACUAGCAGGUGUCUUCCAGACUUGCUGAUUGUUCACAAUGGAGCUAAUGGAUGUGCUGCCCAGACAAGUUCCAGGUUCCCCUUAAACAGGUUUUUCACAAGCUUCAAACCAAUUGAGGAGUGUGAAGAAACCAGCGAGAGACACUCCACCCAGCAGCCACUCGAACCAACAGUGGUUUCUGCAGACAGCAGUCUAAUCUCUUGGUCUGGCAAGGCUGGGCAAGAGAUCAUUUUCCAGGCUCACCUGCAAUGCUGAAAUUGGAACAUCUUUUCCCACGCAUGUCCUCAGUACUAGAAAUAGUCCCAGUUCCUGACAUAAAGCAAUCGAAGCCCUAGGGAUUCCCGCAUGAUGGUCAUGUGUGCUUUCGUUCUGCCUGGGCCCUGUGUGUUCACACCCCAGUUUAGGGUGCGAUAUGAACUCAAGCUUCGGGAAAUGCUGGGAUAGCUAGGCGGGGGAUGGGAGGCUUCAGGGGGGGAGUUUGUGGCCAGAGGGAUGGGAUUUUCCAUCCCCACUUCAGGCUCAGGGGAUGGAAUGAAGGCCAGAGACUGGGUUCAGAUCAAUCUUCUCUAUGAAGUACUACCUCCCUAAGAUCCCAAAUGAUAACAUCAGAGAGCUUCAAUCACACAGUUGACAAUCACAUGACGGUCUCAGCCAAGAGAGUCUCAGUCUCAACUCACUGGGAACAGCAGCUAUGGAGCAAGGGCCCUUCUAGGUCACACAUAUACAUUUUCUUCUGACUGUUCAUUUUUAUUCUUUACAAUAACCAAAAAUAUCAAUAAAUAAAACAUUUUCCAAAGUCUUA